AUUGAACGCUGGCGGAAUGCUUUACACAUGCAAGUCGAGCGGCAGCGCGGGGGCAACCCUGGCGGCGAGCGGCGAACGGGUGAGUAACAUAUCGGAACGUACCCCGUCGUGGGGGAUAACACAGCGAAAGCUGUGCUAAUACCGCAUACGACCUGAGGGUGAAAGCGGGGGAUCGCAAGACCUCGCGCGAUGGGAGCGGCCGAUAUCGGAUUAGCUUGUUGGUGAGGUAAAGGCUCACCAAGGCGACGAUCCGUAGCUGGUCUGAGAGGACGACCAGCCACACUGGAACUGAGACACGGUCCAGACUCCUACGGGAGGCAGCAGUGGGGAAUUUUGGACAAUGGGGGGCAACCCUGAUCCAGCCAUUCCGCGUGAGUGAAGAAGGCCUCGGGUUGUUAAAGGACUCUUUCAGCAGGAACGAAACGGUAGGCCACUAAUAACUGGCUACUAAUGACGGUACCUGAAGAAGAA
rnacentral:rRNA from 1 species